rnacentral:tRNA from 1 species
UCCCUGGUGGUCCAGUGCUUACAACUUUGCACUCUCAAUGCAAGGGCCUAGGUUCAACCCCUGGUCAGGGAA